rnacentral:lncRNA from 1 species
AAUAAUUGAUGUUUAUUUUACUAAAAAAAUUGAAAUAACAACAGAAAUUAGAGAAGGAAAAAUAAAAUUAACACUUACUUUUUUUCGGCUUAUUCAAUCACCUGGUCCCUUACCGUAAUUGAUUGUCUCAAUUUGGUCCCCUAAUUAUAAAUUGUACCAAUUUAGUCCCCUAUGUUUUGCUUCGUUACUAGUUUUAAUCCUUUCUGUUAGUUUCUCUCAAAAAAAUGUUAACUUAUGUACCAAUUUGGUCCCUUAUGUUUUGCUCUGUUACUAGUUUUAGUCCUUUUUGUUAACCUUUUUUUUAGAGAAACUAACAGAAAGGACUAAAACUAAUAACGGAGCAAAACAUAAAUGACCAAAUUAAGACAAUCAAUUAAGUUAAGGGACAAGAUGAUUGAAUAAGUUUAUUUUUUUUAACAUUUAGCGACCGAAUUUUAGUCAAAUUUUGCAUUUUUCCACCUUAAAUUUUAAUAUCUAUUUGAACUCUUUUUAGUAGUACAUACAUUCUAAUACUCUAAUUAACAAAUUGACAUGGUUUCUAAAUGCAGAGAUAAUUUAGAGAUCUAUUGUUCAGAAGUACAAAAACUUUGUUUCACAAUCAUUAGUCAAAUGGAAAAGGCUCUCAAGAUCGAAUCAAAUGAAGUAACAGAAUUAUUUAACCACAUUACUCAAGCAAUGAGGUGGAAUUUGUAUCCUCCAUGUCCUCAACCAGAAAAUGUUAUUGGACUGAAUCCUCAUUCUGAUGUUGGUGCUUUAACCAUCCUUCUACAAGCCAAUGAAAUAGAAGGCCUCCAAAUAAGAAAAGAUGGACAAUGGAUUCCUGUUCAACCCCUCCCUAAUGCUUUUGUCAUCAACAUUGGAGAUAUGUUGGAGGUAAUUAGAAACUUAUAUCAAUUCUUUUUAUUAUAUGAAGUAUUUUUUACAUGUUCAAGUAUGAAUGAAAAUUUGAUUGAAUGAUAUAGUUCAAUAAAUAAUUGGUCAAAUACCUCCCUGUGUCCUUUAAGUUUCAGGUUUGUUUCAGAUAGGUCCUUAAAGUUUCUAAGGUUUCAGAUAGAUCCUUUAUGUUUCGAGUUUGUUUCGGAUAGGUCCUUUCUGUCAAGCUUCGUUAAGUCAAAGUUGUUAUGUCCGUUAAGCCAAAGCUGAUAUGUCCGUUAAGUGGGUGAGGUGGUUCUCUCUGACACUUGACAUCAAUUUUUUCCCCAACCAGAUCAACAUUGGCUUAACGGACAGAUCAACUUUGUCUUAACGGAGGUUGACAUAAAUGACCUAUCCGAAACAAACUCGAAACUUAAAGGACCUAUCUGAAAUCUUAGAAACUUAAAAGACCUAUUCGAAACAAACUCGAAACUUAAAUGACCUAUCUAAAACCUUAGAAACUUAAAGGAUCUAUCUGAAACAAACAUGAAACUUAAAGGACCCGGGAAUGUAUUUGGCCUAAAUAAUUUAAUAAACUUUGAUUAGGACUAACUAACUAACUUUGAUUGAAGGAUAUUUUCAAUUGAGUUAAAAAAAGAUAAGAUUAUUUUAAAUCUAUAUCUCAUUAAUUCAACUUUGGACUCUUAACAAAAAGAAUUGAGUUUUAUGAAUUAUUCCUACCUUAAUAUUAAAAUUAUUAAAUGGUAUUGCAGAUAGUAACAAAUGGAAUAUACCGAAGCAUUGAACAUCGAGCAACAGUUAAUUCAGAAAAAGAAAGGAUUUCCAUUGCUGCAUUUCAUAGGCCUCAUGUGA